rnacentral:rRNA from 1 species
UACGAAGGGGGCUAGCGUUGCUCGGAAUCACUGGGCGUAAAGGGUGCGUAGGCGGGGCUUUAAGUCAGGGGUGAAAUCCCAAGGCUCAACCUUGGAACUGCCUUUGAUACUGGGAAUCUUGAGUCCGGGAGAGGUGAGUGGAACUGCGAGUGUAGAGGUGAAAUUCGUAGAUAUUCGCAAGAACACCAGUGGCGAAGGCGGCUCACUGGCCCGGAACUGACGCUGAGGCGCGAAAGCGUGGGGAGCGAACGGG